rnacentral:rRNA from 1 species
CGUAGCCGCGGGAAGACAGAGGAUGCAAGCGUUAUCCGGAAUGAUUGGGCGUAAAGCGUCUGUAGGUGGCUUUUCAAGUCUGAUGUGAAAGCCCCCGGCUCAACCGGGGAGGGUCAUUGGAAACUGGGAAACUUGAGUGCAGAAGAGGAGAGUGGAAUUCCACGUGUAGCGGUGAAAUGCGUAGAGAUGUGGAGGAACACCAGUGGCGAAGGCGACUCUCUGGUCUGUAACUGACGCUGAGGAGCGAAAGCGUGGGGAGCGAACAGGAUUAGAUACCCCCGUAGUCCCUGUCUCUUAUACC